rnacentral:rRNA from 1 species
ACGGGAGGCAGCAGUGGGGAAUAUUGGACAAUGGGGGAAACCCUGAUCUAGCGACGCCGCGUGAGUGAAGAAGUAUUUCGGUAUGUAAAGCUCUAUCAGCAAGGAAGAAAAUGACGGUACUUGACUAAGAAGCUCCGGCUAAAUACGUGCCAGCAGCCGCGGUAAUACGUAUGGAGCAAGCGUUAUCCGGAUUUACUGGGUGUAAAGGGAGCGUAGACGGCGAAGCAAGUCUGAAGUGAAAUGCCGGGGCUUAACCCCGGAACUGCUUUGGAAACUGUUUUGCUAGAGUGCAGGAGAGGUAAGCGGAAUUCCUAGUGUAGCGGUGAAAUGCGUAGAUAUUAGGAGGAACACCAGUGGCGAAGGCGGCUUGCUGGACGGUAACUGACGUUGAGGCUCGAAAGCGUGGGGAGCAAACAGGAUUAGAUACCCUGGUA